UAAUGGUGAUUUUAACAAUUUUUGAGCAUACCCAUGAAUCUCUCCCAAGCUUGGUAGAGAUUUUCUCCAUCUUUCUGUCUGAAACUCAAUAUCUCACUCCUCAAUCG
rnacentral:snoRNA from 1 species